rnacentral:rRNA from 1 species
GCGGAGGAAAAGAAAAUAACAAUGAUUCCCUUAGUAACUGCGAGUGANGGGGGAAAAGCUCAAAUUUUAAAUCUGUUAGGUUAUACCUGACCGAGUUGUAAUUUGAAGAGGCGUUUUCUGAGGGUUUGAUCAGUCCAAGUCCUUUGGGAUAAGGCAUCAUGGAGGGUGAGAAUCCCGUUCGGUUGAUCAGAACUUCUUUACGAUACGUCAUCAAAGAGUCAAGUUGUUUGGGAUUGCAGCUUAAAAUGGGAGGUAAAUUUCUCCUAAGGCUAAAUAACGGCGAGAGACCGAUAGCGAACAAGUACCGUGAGGGAAAGAUGAAAAGAACUUUGAAAAGAGAGUUAAACAGUACGUGAAAUUGUUGAAAGGGAAACGAUUGAAGCCAGUCGUACCGGCGGGUAAUCAGCCUUUUGGGUGUGAUUAUGUGGAGCGUGAGGAGUUAAUCACCCUCAUCUUUGCAUAUUCGUGCACUUUGGGUGUACUUGCUCGUGUGGUAGGUUAACAUCAAUUUUGAUCGUCAUAAAAUGAUUGGAGGAAUGUAGCUUCGAUCUCGUAUUGAAGUGUUAUAGCCUUCGGUAGAUGUGAUGAUUGGGAUUGAGGAUUGCAACGGAUACCCUUCGGGGCUACCUGUCUGAUCUCUGAAAGUUGCUCUGGUGCUGAAAGCUUGCUUAUGGUAUCAAAGUUGACGUUCAACAGGUUAGAACGGGAUAAAUUCGUNAAGGAUGUUGACGUAAUGGCUUUNNANGACCCGUCUUGA